AAAAAAAAAAAAAAAGUGGCACUGCUAAGCUACAACCCCAGCCCAAUGAGACAUUUUUUUUCCUUCUGUAAUUGCUCUCAGUGUCUUUUGCUAGCUCUCAGUAAGUACAAUGACCAGAGAGCCCUUCCUUGCCAGGUCUUGGCAAUGGUUUUAUGAGUUGGAUGUAGAAACCCAGGCUAAGGCAAACACCCAGGUAAAGCUGCUGCUUGCCUCCCCCAGAUAGCUUAUGGAUAACCUUAUAUGAUCAUUUUGAGCUUGUCGACUCCAUAGAACUUUACAUGUCUGCUCUCACCUUGCUAGGUUACGUUAGAAACAGGUAGCCCUGAAUGCCAUUUAAAUUAGAUUUUUUUCUUGUUUUUGGAGGUUGUAUCUAAACCUCACAACAGUUGCCUACUGAUCUUGAUCUCUUGCCAGUUGGGCAUUUCAACGGUCAGUGUUCUAUGCAGGAGGAGGUGUGUAGGUGGAUUUUCCUGUCAGCGAGGCUUCCCUGUUAGAUAUUUAUGUAUUCGCCUCCUAGUCCUAGUGGCAACCUUGUUCAAGUUAAACAACUAAAACAGAGGGAACAACUUGAGUACAAGCCUGUCCUAGUCAUCUGCAUAAAGAAUGUAUAGGAAUUUGAAGUGUUUUGAGACUCAGGAAGGAAAGAGGAGAGCGCCUGAGACCAAGGGCCAAGUUGGCGACUCUGUCCUUAAGCACUCAUAUCCCGUCCCCACUGCGUCCUACCACCAGAACCUUCCUUUUAACAAAAGUACAAAAACCAUGUAACACAAAACAGAAUAUGAGAUCUUUCAAUGACCGUGUUCAUGCUGUGACUAGGAAAUGCUCGCUAGGGCAAAAACUUUCAUGCAGGUGAGCUAACAACCUGUUAUCAUUGCUCCAAAGGUACAGAGUUGAAGUGGGUGUCAGUAACACAGGCAGGCUGGGUUACUUCAACUUCAGCUUCACUUAGGGAGACAAGAAUUCUGGUAUUUCUGUGUUUCCUUUUCCAACUAGACAGUAAAUUCCUUACAGGAAAGGAUGAGGUCCAUUUGGCUUUGUAUCUCUGGGUAGCCACUUAGUGGCGGGGAUGUAAGAACACUGGAAACACUUUCGUUUAGAAUUACAGGACUCUCCAAACAGCCAUAUCCCUUUAAACAGAGGACAUCAGGCAUCCAUAUUUCUUGACUGCUUACAAAUAUUUGAUACAAGGGUUCUGUCUCCAUUAAUGGGGUUGGUAACGAGGGCUCCAUGUCUCAAGAGUCAGGGGCCAUGGAGUAAUGGGUGAGAAGUAUUAAUGCUGGUGAGAGGUUACAGAAUGAAUGGAGGGAUGGAGGGUGUAAUUUUUCCCUAGGCAGAUGUGAGUGUACAUCUGCAUGCCACUGAUGAAAUGCCAAAACUACAAUGAUUCUAGCCAAGUCUAGCUUGGUGAACCAAUGAGUUUAUUGGGGUUACUUAGAGGAGCACUCAAAGGCAGCUGCCUCACCAGAAAGCCUGCCCUAGCAUGGAUGGUGAGCUAGGAAAGCUACCUGGGUGACUUACAGGUACCUCUGAUGGGGAAAGUCUUCAUUCCUCAGUACCUAAGCUGCUUUUAUAGCCUUGAAGGGCACUGUGGAUCUCAUAACUUGUGAUCUUCUAAGUUUUAUGAAUUUCCUGAGCCUUCUUUACCUUCCUGGUCGUUGAAGCUUCUCUCCUCCUUCCAGGAGGGAAUUCUUUGAAGGAGGUGGAAAAAAAUCCCCAUGGAAGAUGGCGAGUUCAUUAAUGUCCACUGGGACAAAUUACCAUGGGCCAAAACAGUAGAAAUCCACUAUCUUCUAGUUCCAGAGUUCAGAGGCAUGACAAGCAUCUCCCUGGGAUGUCAUGCAACUUUGAGCCAUGUUGUGUUACUUCAGGAGGCUCCAAGGGAGAAGCUUGUCUUGUGCCACCCUCCCUCCCUCCCCCUUUAGAGGCCACCUGCAUCUUUUUGUUCCUAGCUCUUUCAUUCCUCUUCAAAGCACUUCCGAUUUGGCAUUUCAGAUUUGGCCUUGACUUCUGAUAGGCCUUGGCAACCUCCCUCUCUUUCUGAGGGCUCUUGUAAUCACAAUGGGCUUAUCCUGACCCAUCCAGAUGAUCUCCUGAUUUUAAGGUUAACAGAUAGGCAAUGGAAAUUCCACCUACAACCUCAAUCCCCCCUCCCCCCCAAUGAAUAACAUACAAGUCCUGGAAGAAGGGCUGAUGUACAACUUUGGGUGGGAAGCAUUCCUUUAGUAAGAGGGAAGCUCCCAAUGGUCACUGGAGUGUCAGCAUCUUCACUCCAUAUCAAUACUGAAGGAAACGUGACCUCAGACAGUUUAUGUGAAUUUCAACUGUUGGCUCCACAGGGGAGGAAAUUUCCCGGAGCCCUGGGCUGUUUGGCAUUGAAGUGUAGAGCCUUUACUCUUCCAGUUUGCUUUGCUGUACCUGGGCCUCACCUGGUGUCUAGUCUCAAGAGACAGUUCCACUCCAUGGAUUCAGAAUGGACUUGAUCUGUCCGUAAGAGUUUGUUUGAACGAGAGCAUGAUCUUUUAGAACUACCUUCUAAAUGUCCACUUGGGGACACUGAACUUUAGCUCAAGGGUUCCAAAAGUCUAAAAUCCUAGAAGUCCCCCUUAGGCAUUCUACGAAGAGGGGCCUAAAGAAUGCCCUCCCAAAGCAAGCUUUCUCCCUUAGCAGCUGCAGUAAAUGUAUGUCACCAUAUGGUAACUCUGUUGGAUGAGGCUGGCACCUAGAAGAAAAAGAGGACUUUAGCCACUGGGUGUUCACAGUGAUGGAGCUGGUGACUCUGGAAUAGAGUCCAACUCCUAAGACAGAGGGUGGUCCAGUGGGCAAAUGCAAGAAGUCUUCAGUCAAGGUCACUGCAAGAGGGGAAGACUCAGGAAGACUUACUGCAUGAUUUUUUCACUUGGAAAGAGCAAACCAUGAUCUGGGGUAACAGAUUCCCAAAGGAGGCAUCCAGAUAUUAUUUAGAAAGUUACCACCCUCCAAGUCAGCUUUACUUGGAGCUUUACUUUACAGCUGCCCAGCGGUUCACAUAAAGAUGGAACCUGACCAAAGACAGGGCACAAGACCUUUUUGCUAAGAAAGUAAAUUCUUUAGAACUCUGAAAUGAAUCCAGUCUUUGAAGAGAGACGAGGCAUUGAGGAGAGACCUUGGGGGCCAUGGAGAAAGGCAGCCCUGGUUCCUGGAUGAGCAUCACGAAGGGACUACAGUAUGUUGUUGAGUCAUGGAAAAGUCACUUCAGCAUAGUACUACAGAGUUUCCUUUCAUCCCUAGCAACUGAUGGGUGACAAAGGGAAUCUUGAACCUCUGCCUCACAAAGACGAACAAAGCUGACUCAAGGCACCUGUGUUCAGGAAUCUGACUAAGCUAGAAAGGGCAAAGCGACCCACGAUGGGUCUUCUUCCCUUGUGGCCACUGGCAGCUUCUGAGAUCUACAGACUGGAUGAUUAAGAAAACUUGCCAAAAACGGAGACAGAAGCAGGAGUUAAAAGGAAAGGUCUCAGCCUGCUACGAACCCCAUCCUCUGCUCCUCGACAAUGAUCCUCCAGUCCCCACAUCCCAGCAUCAGCCUACACCGAACCCUGUUCUCUGCUUACCCACAACUCUAAGCUGAUCCUUUGGGUAGGAUGGAGGUUCAACUCUGGAGCCUUUGGUGGCUAAAGGGCAGGAUGAUCCUAAGUACAAUCUAUCAUAGGGUCUCUCCCCAAGGUCAGGCCAUUCAUUAUAAGACAUGCUGGCAGUGUCUAAAAUGGAGAUGGCCUGGCAACUGGGAUGGCAUAAUGUUUCUAGCAACCUCCAGACCCUCGGUUGCUAUGGACAGAGACAAAGAUGAAAGGACCUGGAUUGUGCUUUGCAUACCCUGUCUUCCCAUGAGCAAGGGGCCAACAGAGGGAGUAUGGAAGUAGAGAGGGAAAGCCUGGCUUGUUUUAAAGAAGACAGGAAGAGAGGCAAAUAAAAUGGUUAUCAGAGGCUGAUGGAGGGCAGGAGCUGGGUGGGAAAGGGGAUGGAAAGAAAAUAGGGGAGGGAUCAGGUGUGGAGAGAGAUGGCCAGAUGCUAUGAGAAAGAAUGGAAAUCUGUAGCUGGCAGGGGGUGGGGCUGGGGAAUAGGAAACAUCUUCAGGACACGUUGGAGACCUGGGAUAGGGGAGGCUCCCAAGAAUCAAUGGGGCUGACCUUAGCUAGACAUCAGUGGGGAUAUGAAACCUGAAGAGGCCACCUCCUGUCGACAGGUGGGAACCCCGGUGGAACGAUAGGGACACUAACCCACCCACAAAACUUUCAACCCCUAAUUUAUCCUGCCUACAAGAAAUGCAGGGUUGGGGAUGAAGCAUAGACUGAGGGAAUGGUCCACUCAUAAGGGGCCCAGCUAGUAGACACCCAUCCCCUGGGCAAGUGACAGUCCCUGACACUACUGAUAUGCUAUGCUUACAGACUGGAGCCUAGCAUGGCUGUCUUUUGAGAGGCUCCACCUAGCAGUUGACUCAGAUGCAGAAAUCCACAGCCAAAGAUUGGAUGGAGCUUGGAACUCUUUUAUGGAAGAGUUGGAGGAAGGAUUGAGGGCCCAGAAGGGGAUAGGAACUCCACAAGAAGACCAACAGUCAACUAACCUGGACCCUUGGGGGCUCUCAGAGACUGGACCACCAACAAAAGAGCAUUCAGUGGCUGGAUCUAACUGCCCCCUUUUGCCUGUACUAUGGACAGCUCUCAACCCACCCCUACCUGCCCUCGGGGGUUGGGGGUGAGUUGGCGCAGAGUCAAGGACAUGGACAGACCCCUGGUAACAGGUAUGUCUAUGAGGGUGUCAAUGCCCUGGUACUGGAGUUGCAGACAGUUGUGAGUUGCUACGUGGGAGCUUGGAAUUAAACUCCAGUCCUCCGGAAGAACAGCUAGUAUUCUUUUCUUUUCCCAACAGAGUAGUUUUAUUGCUUAUUUGGGAAUUUGACGUAAUGCACCCUGAUCAUACUCACUUCCCAGGCUUUCCAGGUCCACCUCACCCUUGUAAGCCCCCCACUCCCCCCAAGUCCACAAGUUCAAUUUAUGUUGCUCAUAUACUCACUGGAGCGUGGUCAAAGUCCAAGUGGCCAACCCCUAAAAGAAAACUGAGUUCUUUCCCAUCCUCACUCUUGCCAGAAGCCCUCAGCUGUGCAGAGCCACACUUCAGUUUCCUGAGCACACUUUUAAGAGUUCUCUUCAAUGCGGCCAGUAGUGUAACCACUGAGCCAUCUCUUCAGCACCCCCAUUUUGGUUAUCAUUCCUCUAUCUCUCCCUUCAAACCCACACGUAUAUCCUCCCUUGCUCUCUUUCAGCUUCAUGACCUUUUUAUUUCAUUUUACGUUUCAUUGUUGUAUAUGUAUGUAUAUGUAUUUCUAAACGUACCCUGCUCAGUCUGUAAUAUUUGUUGUUCUGGGCAGCUCUUAUCCAAGAUAAGGAGAUCAGGACCAGCUCUUUAUGAAUUUUAAGUUUUUAUUGAGCCACACAGAGCUGUCCAGGGGGCACUCACCACUUUGACUGUAAGUAUAAAGAGGCACCCCAACUCUGUAAAGAAGGUUGUAAAGGUAAAACCUACAGGUUGGGCACAUCCCAUGAGCUCUGUUGAGGUGGCUGUUGGCAAGCAUGACAGGAUAAAGACUUUUUACAAAAAUGGGGCACAGCUGUGUUACCAUGGUAUCACUGUUUGAUGAGGGAGAGGAGCAGAAAGCCUCAUGGUUAUAAAAGCCGAACAAUGGCAGGCAACUUAAGGUUCCCAUAAGUAGUUUACAUGCCUGAGGGUCAGACAGACCUCAGUCUUAGCCUGAGGUAGGGUCAGGAAUUAGCAGACAUGUUUUUCCUCACUACAUACAUUGUGAUAUUCUUCUUAGCAGUUCAUGGAACCUUCUCUAAAAUAGAGCACAUUUGAAGUCACAAAUAAAGAUGUACUGAAUACAAAAUAACUGAAUCGCUUGUAUCUUCUCAGCUCAUCCUGCAACAGAACCAGGAAUCGAU
rnacentral:lncRNA from 1 species